AUGGGCGCAAGCCUGAUGCAGCGACGCCGCGUGAGGGAUGGAGGCCUUCGGGUUGUAAACCUCUUUCGCCAGUGAAGCAGGCCUGUCCCUUGUGGGUGGGUUGACGGUAGCUGGAUAAGAAGCGCCGGCUAACUACGUGCCAGCAGCCGCGGUAAUACGUAGGGCGCGAGCGUUGUCCGGAAUUAUUGGGCGUAAAGAGCUCGUAGGCGGCUGGUCGCGUCUGUCGUGAAAUCCUCUGGCUUAACUGGGGGCUUGCGGUGGGUACGGGCCGGCUUGAGUGCGGUAGGGGAGACUGGAACUCCUGGUGUAGCGGUGGAAUGCGCAGAUAUCAGGAAGAACACCGGUGGCGAAGGCGGGUCUCUGGGCCGUUACUGACGCUGAGGAGCGAAAGCGUGGGGAGCGAACAGGAUUAGAUACCCUGGUAGUCCACGCCGUAAACGUUGGGCACUAGGUGUGGGGGGCCUUUUCCGGGUCUUCCGCGCCGUAGCUAACGCAUUAAGUGCCCCGCCUGGGGAGUACGGCCGCAAGGCUAAAACUCAAAGGAAUUGACGGGGGCCCGCACAAGCGGCGGAGCAUGCGGAUUAAUUCGAUGCAACGCGAAGAACCUUACCAAGGCUUGACAUGUGCCGGUCGGCUCCGGAGACGGGGUU
rnacentral:rRNA from 1 species